GCUCACUUAGUAUAAUGGUUAGUACAUCACGUUGUGGCCGUGAUAAUCCCAGUUCGAUUCUGGGAGUGAGCA